rnacentral:lncRNA from 1 species
UGAGCUGCUCAGAUCGUGCACCCUGCAGGCUGAGAGCACAUGCAGAUCUACUGAGCUCUCAGUUUGAUGCCUUCUUCCAUGUGUGCAGCAUCUGUACGAUCAAGUCUUGCCUGGGACCUACUGCCUGGAGCUGAGAGACCUCGACCUUCAGGACCCUGGUAAUAGUAUAUGGAUUGUGUUGGAGAUAAAAGAUUGUACAAAUAUUGGAUGAAAUAUCUCCCUAGCAAACAGUCCUGUUGAUCGAGUGUCUCAGCCCGGACAAUGGGCUCCUGCCUACAUAAGUGUACAACUGGGAUAAAAUCACUGACUUUAGCAGACGUGCUCCAUCGUGACUGAGAGUCGAAUCUGGUCUGUGACAUACAAACUGUAAUGGAAUGUAAGCCAGGGAAGAGCAUGCAAAUACUUAAGUACUCACAGAUAGGGGGAGUUUGUCCGGGUCUUUGGAAUUUUGAAGUCUCCUACAAGGAAUAUCCUGACAGCUGCCAUGCAAACAACCUUUACAAAUCCAUGCCAGUCUUUUCUGACACACAACACCUGGCUCCUUUUCUGUAGUGAGAAUGGCUGGACCAUUGCAGUGGUGCACUGAUUUUUGUGGAUGGUGAACACAAAAAGGGGAUUGAGAAGACACCACCCGAGUUAUUCUGACACUUGACUUGAGUGCUUUCUAUUCUUAGAAAAAUGAGGAUCUGAAUUAUGUAAGUACACCAUCAUUGUUUCUUAGAUUUAUGUGUAAAAAUGAGAGAAAAAAAUAAUAAAACUUUUAAUCUAUUAUGUGUAUGGGAUUUA